ACACUCCUACGGGAGGCAGCAGUGGGGAAUUUUGGACAAUGGGCGAAAGCCUGAUCCAGCAAUGCCGCGUGCAGGAUGAAGGCCUUCGGGUUGUAAACUGCUUUUGUACGGAACGAAAAAGCUCCUUCUAAUACAGGGGGCCCAUGACGGUACCGUAAGAAUAAGCACCGGCUAACUACGUGCCAGCAGCCGCGGUAAUACGUAGGGUGCGAGCGUUAAUCGGAAUUACUGGGCGUAAAGCGUGCGCAGGCGGUUAUGUAAGACAGAUGUGAAAUCCCCGGGCUCAACCUGGGAACUGCAUUUGUGACUGCAUGGCUAGAGUACGGUAGAGGGGGAUGGAAUUCCGCGUGUAGCAGUGAAAUGCGUAGAUAUGCGGAGGAACACCGAUGGCGAAGGCAAUCCCCUGGACCUGUACUGACGCUCAUGCACGAAAGCGUGGGGAGCAAACAGGAUUAGAUACCCGGGUAGUCCCA
rnacentral:rRNA from 1 species